GACGAACGCUGGCGGCGUGCUUAACACAUGCAAGUCGAACGGAAAGGCCCUGCUUGCAGGGUGCUCGAGUGGCGAACGGGUGAGUAACACGUGGGUGAUCUGCCCCUUACUUUGGGAUAAGCCUGGGAAACUGGGUCUAAUACUGGAUAGGACCAUGCUGUAGGUGGUGUGGUGGAAAGAUUAGUUUCGGUAAGGGAUGAGCUCGCGGCCUAUCAGCUUGUUGGUGGGGUAAUGGCCUACCAAGGCGUCGACGGGUAGCCGGCCUGAGAGGGUGGACGGCCAAAUUGGGACUGAGAUACGGCACAGAAUCCUACGGGAGGCAGCAGUGGGGAAUAUUGCACAAUGGGCGCAAGCCUGAUGCAGCGACGCCGCGUGGGGGAUGACGGCCUUCGGGUUGUAAACUCCUUUCAGCCAUGACGAAGCCCUUGUGGUGACGGUAGUGGUAGAAGAAGCACCAGCUAACUACGUG
rnacentral:rRNA from 1 species